rnacentral:snRNA from 1 species
AACAAUUUUGCUAAUUUUGUGUU